UGCCAUUGUCACAACCAUAAGCUUAUAUUAGUUCCAGAGAGACAGAACCAAAGCUAUUCCAGGUGAGAAAAAGUUGCCACUUAGGGAAAGAGGGAGAGUAAUGACCAUUGCAGGUUAGAGCAAUUAUGAGGUGAGAACUAGGCACAGUGUGUGUGUGCGAGAGAUAGAAGAGGGAUGCGAAGUGCCCCUGCAAGAGACGCACUAACACCCAUUGAGGCGAAAAAUGCAGAGACAUUGUGUGUGUGUGUGUGCGAGUGAGAGAGAGAGAGAGAGAUUAAUUGUAAUUGCAGGUUGAAGCAGCCACAAGGCAUAAAACAUGUGAUCACAGUGUGUGUGUGUGUGUGCAUGUGCAUGAUAGAGAGAGCAAUUGCCAUUGUCGGUGGGAGCACUUACUCGGUGAGAAGCUCACACAGAGAUAUACUGAGCAUUGGAUGAGUGCACAUGUGAGCACACACAGACACGAGAGAGAGAGAGAGAGAGAGAGAGAGAGAGAGAGAGAUACCUAUCGCCAUUGCAGGUGGGAGCGCAUACUGAGUGAGAAGUAUAAAUUUAUACAAGGGAUCAGAAGAAAUCAGUCCAAGGUGACUUGCCAACUUAAUUAUGCCAAUACCAGCGAGAGGAAGAAGGAUAUAACGCAUGAUUAUGAUUCCUAUGAUGAGAUUGAUGCGCAUCUCUGACGAAUUCAAACCUAAGAAGAAACAAAAGACAAGCAUUUCUCACUACUUUUUUCUGGAUAGGCUAAAAAGUAGCUGAAAAUCAACCUUCUUAAACUCUAAUACACUUUUUUUGAAAUGCCAAUUUUUUUCCAAUAAAGAAUCCGAUAACUAAAACUUUGCAUUGAUUCUCCGAUAACCUCUUUAAAGAGUGCACUAUUUAUCAGGGAAAUUUUCCUUUCAAAAUGGAUAAUAUAAAUUUCAGGAGCAAGGCUGCUAGUAACACUACCACCAUCUCUCCAUUAUAGCAAUAAUCAAGAAUACGUCUGGGGUAUUUAGAGGAAGUGUUUUGAUCAGUUCUAUGGAAAACAGGGCCAUUCAAGCCAAAUUCUAUUAUUUCAUAAGGAAAAUGAACCUUUGAGAUAUGUCAAAACUUAAAUCAUUCAUACCCUUCAAAAGAUUCGCUCCCAAAAUAAGGGUCAAGGAUGGGAUUGCACCUUCACUGCAAGAAAAGAAAAAGACAAUAACACAACCAUUAAAGAAGANNNNNNNNNNNNNNNNNNNNNNNNNNNNNNNNNNNNNNNNNNNNNNNNNNNNNNNNNNNNNNNNNNNNNNNNNNNNNNNNNNNNNNNNNNNNNNNNNNNNNNNNNNNNNNNNNNNNNNNNNNNNNNNNNNNNNNNNNNNNNNNNNNNNNNNNNNNNNNNNNNNNNNNNNNNNNNNNNNNNNNNNNNNNNNNNNNNNNNNNNNNNNNNNNNNNNNNNNNNNNNNNNNNNNNNNNNNNNNNNNNNNNNNNNNNNNNNNNNNNNNNNAGGUAGGAGAGAGAGAGAGAGAGAGAGAGAGAGAGCAGCAAAUUCAUGGUAUUAAAAAUCUUUGAGCUGCAUCUGAAAAAACAUCUCAGGAGAACACCAUCUUCAAGAUGGGGCAUGUUUAACAGUAUUAAAAUUGUUAUGUGCAUGAAAGCUGGGUUUUACAGAAAGGCCCGCAUGAACUUCUUGACAUCUAAAGGGUCAACAAAAUUGAAGAUAAAUACAUCAAUGCAAGACAGAAAGGUAUGAUACAUGCAGAGGCAGAAAAAAUUGUACAUAAAACCAUGCUGAAAAAGUCCAUCUCUGCUUCUCACACACACACCCACCCACAUACACCCCCACACACACACGCACACACUCAGAAACAAUCUUAAAAAUAAUUUUCACAGAGGCAAAUCCUGGCACCUUUGCUGUAUUGCAUACUAGGGCAACUCAAAGAGAUCACACAUCCUAGAAUUGACCUUUUUCCUGUUUCAGCCAUGCAACCACUGAUUCUACUGAUAUUCAAUAUGACUACACAAACAUAUGGUUGGUGUUUGCAAUCACGGUCUAGAAAUAUGAAAACAUUAAUUCUGGCUUUGGAAAGAAAAUGAGGACAAAUUCGAGACUAGGUGAUCUCUUGAGAAGUCCUCAUGCCGAUUCCUAUGCUUAGCAGCCACUAAAUCACGUCCAAGGCCUUCCCCAAAAAGGUCAUUUAACUUUAAAGCUCUUUUGGGAUUGGGUGCACUAGUGCUUUAGAAUUCCAUGCAAUCUCAUUAACUUUCAAGCAAUUUAAGGCUUUUCAAGUUUAUUUUAACAUAAAUAUCAAGAAAUGCCAAAGGUAAAAUAUGCAAUAAGACUAUUUACCUUUAGUACAAGGAGGUCAUAAUCAUUUUCAGUAAUUGGAUAUGAAAUUGGGCAUCUGGAGGUGUGCCAAUAACUAGGGUCAAAGUUUCAAAGAAAAUCUUUCAAACUUUGUGACAUAUCUGUAGUUGUCAAAUUUUACAUCAGACAGCUAAAAGUGAUUAUGACCUCUUUGUGCCAAAGGUAAAUGCUCUCAUAGUAUACAAUCCCAAUGCCAAAUAAUAAAAUAUGUUUCAUAUCCAAUAGAAUCUCUGCAACAAGUACUCUUUGUGAACUAGAUACCACGGGUUGCCAGUUCAUGGCAUCAGGACAGCUUGCUUGUUAAGUUAGUAUUGUGAAGAGAUGAAAAGGUAUAGGAGCAAUGCAAAUUAAGAUUCACGCAAACAAAUUAAACUACAGAAAAAAAUAGCACAAAGUUUUGCUUACCACAUGGUCAAGAAGAUGAUCUGAUUUUGAUCAAUCUUCAUAUUCAUCCUUGUUUUCAAAAUUUCUCUUGACUGGAUGCUUUCUAAAAGUUUAAUUACCAAAAAUGCAUGGCAGAAGCAUCAAGAUGAUAAUGCUGUCCCCAUGGGAAAAAACUAUACCAAAAAACAGCAGAAAACUAAAUGUUGGUGGCUUACCACUGCAAUAGUUGAAGGAGCUAACAAUUUCUCCAAAUGAAGAUUGCUAAGCAUGUUUGACACCCUUUUAAGCAUUGGUGCCUGCAUAGAGACAAAAAAACAGUUGCUUGUCAUUAGGCAAUAUCUCACAUGGUUGAUAACCAUCAGAUUUGCAGUUACUUUCUUGUACCUCCAUGAUGAACUUCCAAUAAUAACAUUCUCCAGUAUAAAAUGGUGCCCAUCAUAUUUCAUUCCAAAGCAAUGAAAUGUCAUAUCAAGGUUCCUCAUGCAUAAAGCAUGAUAGAUACCAAUUAAGAAAUGAUGCAGAUUACAGAGUUCAGCCAAUUCAGUCCCUAAAUUAUCUUAAAUGGAAUAACUGAAGAGUAUCCAAAAGAAUCUCAAAUUAGAGAAGUAGGCUAUAAGAACAACACCAAUGGACUAUGAUAAAUCAUAGUCCAUUUGGUUCACAACCAGAUGGUGAAGCAUAACGGGAUGCACCCUGAGGAGUAUUUCCUUUUCUGAAGGCUUUCGCAUUUGGCCCACCGCCAUCAAUAUGCUUGAAUGAUUAUGGCCCUAAUGGACUGUGGUUUUACAUAGUUCAUUGGAUUAGCAUACAUUCCCCCCGAAUAAUGGUGAAGAUGAACAUGGGAAUCUUUCUUCUAACAAGAAGGUGAGCAAAAGAUUCUCACCUUAAGGUGCAGAAAUCCAUGCCUCACCAAUAUAUUAUUACUUAGCAUGAUAACUUCCAUUAACCAAUUCUAUAUCCUUGCAGAAAAGUUCAGGGAAGCAUACAUAUAAUCAAAUGGAAAGAACGCAUAACACAUCUAUACAAGAAAUUUUAAGCCAAAGCUUAGAUUAGUGGCAUAUAUUUUAAAAAAUUGACAAUAACAUAAACUUCACCAGGACUGCAGGAUACUUAAAAGCAAAUAGAACAUACGAACAGGGAAGACAUUUCAUCAUAUAUCCAACUAAUUUUAUUCUACGUAAAAAGAUAAAAACAUGAUCAAAUACUCAUAUAUCAAACAAUAAUUGAUGUUACAAAGCAUGGUUGUGAUUUAAGACAAGAAGACCCACCUUCUGCUUAUGAGGAGUUUCCGUACUUCUAAUCAAAGAUAUUGUAAUCUGAUUCUCAUUAUGCACAGAGCUCAAGAGUCUUUGGCAUGAACUUUCUCCAACCGCAUGGCCAUUUUCAGGCAAAUUUGAAGGUUCUUCAGGAAAACUGCACGUAUAUGUGCUCUCAGCUGCACCAUUCUGUCCUUCAGUUUCAUUAGUGCUUCCAUUUGCAUACAUGCGUAAGAUAUUGUACGUAUAAGACCAGAUAAAAAUGGCACCUAUCUGAGAUUUUCAAAUCAAACAGAACAUAGUAAAAUUGUGAGAAAAAUUAAUAGCAUGGACUAAAACUACAUAUGCAAAUAACAAUGCAUAUGCUUUAACUCAUAAGCUACACCAAAAUGGUCUAGCAAUAUGCAUAAGACACUCAAAUAGUUUGUAACUUGAUAAUGCAAGGAAAAGGUCAUUCGCAUCACGAUUUAUUCAAUUGAACAUCAUACCGCCAUGGAAAGUGCUGCAUAAGCAUUUCCAUAGGAAUCACAUGUAUCAGCAUCACCGAAAGGACUCCCUUGUUCUUGGCACAAUGCUGGGACGAUAAUGAGAAGCAGGUUCCCCAAAUUUCCUAUUUCCAUCAUAAACAAAACACAGCAUGGAACCAUUUUAUCAUUAGAAAUAUACUCCACACAAAGAAUUGAAGCCUAGAGAAAUAAGCAGGUUCCCCAACGUUCCUAUUUCCAUCAUAAACAAAACACAGCAUGGAACCAUUUUAUCAUUAGAAAUAUACUCCACACAAAGAAUUGAAGCCUAGAGAAAUAAUUCCAGAACAACUAAUUUCGUUAAGCAACGAUGGUUUGUAAUUGUGUUACAUAUAUAUAUAGGAGUUCAUACAAAUUUAUAUUUGUAACAAAUUUAUGAAAUGUCUAAUUGGACAUCGCAUUUGAACAUCUAAUGGAUUUUGAGUCCAUAGAUUCCAUCACUGGACCACAACCCCAUAUUAUGGAGACCAGACCCUCGUAUAUAUCAUAUAUAUCUUUAUAAUGAUAGCUGACCCCAAAUAGUUGGGAUAAGGCUCGGAUGAUGAUGAUGAUGAUGAUAUGAUGAUAUAACUAUAUAAUGAUGAUGAUAACUUUAAUAUUACAUACUUUAAUAAUCAUAAAAAAAAACAUAAAGAACUUGUAUAAUAGGGCACUUAUCGUUUCAAAAUUAUUCCUUUUCAAUUUAAUUUCAUAAUUUGUAGUCUUAAAUUAAUAUAACCACAUGACAUACUGUGUACAAAGAAAUUUUGAACUGAUGUUAUGAGUACCAACAUCCAUGUUGAUUUCCAUAGCGACCCAGAAAAACAAAACUACAUAAAUACAGAAAACUAUAUGGUUCUUACCUGCAGAACAAGUAGAAAUGAUGAGACCUCUCAAAUGAGGAGGAGGCUUGGUAAUUUUUAUAAGCACGCACCCAAGAGCAGAACCAACAAUAAAUGUGAGAAGAAUAUUAAUGGGCAUGAACCACCUACAACAUACAUAAAAAAAUAUUUAUCAUUUUGCAAAUUAACGAACGUGUCAGUAAAAGUAAAACACAAUGAUAUAAUUCCUACAGCGACAAUAUAAAUAAGGAAAAGUAUACAAUGAAACCAUUUACCUUUGGUAUAAGGUGGUCACAAUUAAUAUUAACCAUUGGACGCGAAAUUGGAUGGCUGCAUUUAUUCCAUUGACCAAGCUCAAACUUCAAAAGAAAUUUUCUUGAACUUUGUGACACACCCAUGCUAUUAAAUUUCUCAUUAGAUGGUUAUAAAUAAUUGUGACCUCCUUGUAUCAAAUGCAAAUAGUCACAUUGUAUACAACCCUAUAAAUAAAGUUAAAAUAACAUUUUUAGUAAGUGUUGUUGAAUGAAGUAUGUUUGAUAUGAAUCUAUGAAGUUCAAUCCAAAAUACCUACAUGGUUUGAAAUUUCCUCAAAAGUGUAGAUAGUAAGAUCAAAAGAUAAUACACUAGAAAAAAUGAUUAGAACUAGAAUAAAAAAUCUGAUAAGGUUCUUUUUCACUUUACAUAGAACUCAACAAUAUAUGUACCUGAAAUCUAUUGAAGGCAAGAAUGUGAAACACAGGGAACCAAAAAACAACAUUAUACAGGCCUCAGACAACAGUAUAUUAGUGAAAAGACAUUUCCAACAAGUAUUGAAGAUAACUACAGAAGUACAAGUCCAUGAUAAUGAUCAUAUAACAGACUUCUAGACUUAAGUUGCUGAGACACCCCUAAGUGGAUAUUGUACCAAAUGAAACAGAAUAAAAUACAUAAUAAAAGAACUUACCUGUCAGUCUCAGAAUAUUGGCAAUCAUAAAAAGACUGUUUUGUGAAAGACAUGUAAAAUAAUACCAUCAGGUAAUGCAUGUCGUUCAACUAUAAAAAGAGAGACUGUGAGUAAUGUUUCAGUCAAACCCUUCCAGAAAGCUAUCCAGAGUGAGCACGGAGUUUAGUUCCUAAGUACCCUUCUGGGGUACCCAAGUGCUACUAUGUUUCACCCCUUUAGGAUGAUUAGAACCCUCGAUAAAUUUCUUACUUGUGAAUUUCAUAUGUGUAACUGACUGAUGCUCUUGAGUUCAUUGUCAAACAAAAAUAGCUGUUUGUAGCGAUAUCUUAACAAUCUCGUAAAUUCCAUUGCAUUCUAAUUCCCUCAUUUUGCUACUACCCAUUAUCAAGGUGACAACGUCCUCCUAAUUUGGCCUCAAUAGCAAAUCUCCCCGCCCUCCCAACAUCCCAUGUAUACCAUCAAUAAAAAUGGUUAACAAUGCGCUUGUCAAGUAAUGUGUGAAGCGUACCUAAAACAUAAGGUGCAAAAAAAAUGUUCAUGCAUAAGAUUGAGGUAAGAGUAGUGAAAGGCGGAUACCUACGAGUCUAAGGCAUGCAUCUCAAGCAAAAUCAUGCAUCAAACACAUCCAAAUGAAGUGGUAAAGAAAAAGGUAAAAAAUGUAAACGUGCCGCAAAGAAGUUCUCUAAAAUAGGUGAGAGCCCAGGGCCACCUGACAUUGUUUUUGGUUUGCAUGGACACAGAUAGGGCAUGGGACCUCAAUGAAUACACUAUAAUAAAUUCCUUCAUAACCAUCAGAGAUCAUCACAUCGAUUGUUCCGAGAAUUAAACCUCAUAGUUAACAUGAGAUUCACUGAAUUAAUUCAGGAAAAAUGCAUCAAAUUGGCAUUAAUAAGAAAUAUUUAAGUUUUUUGAAUUACCGAAAAUAUUCGGUUACACGUCAUCCGUUAAACGAUGUUGCCUGAAUACUCUAUCUUAACAAGUAAGAUUGUAAGAACGAUAGUUACUUUAAAACAUACUAAAGGUCCAUAUCUGAAGUAGUAUCAAGUAAAUUAUAUAUGAUUAAUGUAUAAUCAAGUAAUAGAAAUUCAGGGUUUCCCCUUUUCUACCAUUUUUCUGCUGGGUCAGUUUAGGGUGCAAUCACGGCCGCACCCCAAACCCUUCAAUGCUGACACCGUCUUUUUCAUGGAGAGAAGCAAAAAUAAAACUAAAAGACCUGUCAAUAAAUGUCAAUCACAAGAAAAUGGAUUUGGAGCACCUAAGAAACUCAACAUUUGACUGAUCGAUCAUCCAUUAAAUUGAUGACCAGAUUUUGAGAUGGAAGUCGAGAUGGAGUACUUUAGGGCAUCAAGUGCAACUUUUCUAGGAAAUUGUUUUUGGAGGGUAAGAGAAUUGAUUUACAGCAUCCUGGGUCCUCAUCCAUUAAGUAAAAAGGAGAAAUGAGGUGCAGCCUCAUGGUUUUGGGUCUGUCUGCAGCAGCACCAAACCAAUUUCCUUUGCUAUUUUUUCAUUUUUCUAACUGGAAAUUUCCAAUAAUUGCAUACAUGACCUGCCAUUUAUGCCUCAAGCACUGAUUCUGCAUCUGUCCUUACCAUUCAUGAUCUUAGCGCAUAAUUCUUGGAUAUUUCAUGGUAAGAACGCACUCCAUUCUUUUCAAAAAUGACAAACAGACAAGCAUUCAUGUGUCAGCCUUGCAAAGGAUCGAGGAUAACCUCUUUAAGUAAUAUAUUCUUAUAAACUAUAGAAUGCGCCAAGGAUUGUGAAACACAUAACCAUGAUUAGCGAUCUAGAGAUGUUAGAACUCUGUAUUUAUUUAGAAAAAAGUUCUCACACAUUAUCCUUGUCUGCUGGGAACAUAAUUGUCACUACUAUGUGUAAUCAGAGGCAAGGUUGCGUUUUUACCAUUGUGAAUUCUGUAACACUAUGCAGAUAGGAUUCUCAAAUUGGCAGAUAAUACAAGUAGUGACUUCGGGAACUCACAACAACAUUAAGCUAUUCCAUGUGAUUGUCUUGGAGAGCUUUGAAUACACUAGAGCUGGAGUAAAUACAAAGAAUACAACCUGUAUUUCAAAAGUUCGAAGAAAAGGAGUUAGUCAUGGGAAUAUUUUAUUGUAUUUAGUAGUCCUGAAUUGGUAAAAUAACUAUGAAACAUGUAAAAAGCACAAUUGAAUGCAAGAGAACCAUAUUAUCCACAGAAGACCAAAGUAAGAGAGGUGGUUUAUUCCUGGUCAGUAAAUGACAGCAUAUAAGAAACUUUUCUAAUGAAAAACCAUAAGUCAGAUGUCAACUAGCUUUUGUAAAGUACCACACUAACAACAAGCCGGAAGUAAACCAGACUAAAAGUAAUGACAAUAGUCACGAAGUGAAAAGCAGACAAUCGACUAACAAAAUUGGCAAGUGUCAACAGCACAAAAUGUUUGCAAAUAAAAUACUAACUUGGCGAGUAAAGUUCAGCUAAACCCAAGCUAAAAAUCAAGUUAAUAAGACAAUCCCCUACGUGACCCCAGAAAUUCCAGCAGUAAGACUCUUAAUCUUGAUAUGCAAUACUAAAUGCAAUAAUGUAGGAAGCAUGAAUUCUUAACAGUAUUUUUCUCUGGCCUGUUAUUGAUCAAAACAAUAACCAAACAAUACUACCAUAAUCUGUGGCAAACUUGAAAGAAUCCGUCCAUGUACAUUGGUAGUGUUGAAAAAGAGGCAAAAUUACUAAACCAUGCACAUCACCCGCACCUUAUAAAAUAGACUGGUUACAAAUUCUAUGCUUUAUUACAAAAGAAAUUGUCCAAUGGGGUCUCCAAGAGCACAUAGAAGUAUUUCCCAAAAUUCACGUGUGUCAAUUAUUGAUUAUUUUUCCAAAUGCUUCUCUCAUGCUGACAAUACAAUUCUCUUAUUCUAACCAGGAACUUUUUUCUUACAGUUCAUAUGGAAGAUAAGCUUUAUAAGCUUAACAGGUGGUACCAGAAAAGCCAAUAUCAUCACCAAUUCAAAUACCCCAGUUAAAUAAUUUAAAGACAUGGAAAGAGAAAAGGAAAAGAAAGAGAAAGUCAAAAAAGAAGACCAUGAAAUACACGUAUCAACAGCCUAAAAUCAAAAACAAAAUUAAUCACAGGAUCUCCCUUCACACUCUCAAAAUCUUAACUCUUCGCUAACAGUAAUUCCAAGCAAUAGCAUCAAGAGCCAAUACUACCACCAAUUCAAAACAUGGUACCUGAGAAAUCCCCAAAACUCAAAUAACAAAAGAGAACACCUAAGGCAACAGUCACGCACAAUCUUAACUCAAAACCCAACUUAGCUGAACCAACUUUCUCAAUCACUUUGAAGUUAACUAAUUGGAAGCGGUGGAUUCAGGAGCAAAUUUACUACAAAGCACAAACUUUUUCAAUGAAUGAAUUCAACUACCAAUUAAAUAGAAUACAACUAGAUAACCAAAAAGAAAAUAUAAAAAUCUAAAAGAAGGGGAAGAACGUAAAAAAAAAAAAAGAAGAUCACAGGCCUCUUCAUUAACAUCAUUGAUUCCUAGUAAUACUAAAAAGAUCUGUAAAUUGAAAGAGAACCCACUCGGUUCAAAUGCUCCUUCGCCUCUGGUCCAAGAAUGUCUACACGACCUAAGGCCAAGAACGACCCAAGUGCAGUUAUAAUAAGCACUUUGACAACAGGCUUAGCUGCAACAAGAAGAAGUUCCAAAAGCUCCAUGAUAAAGUCCUCCUUGUUCUAUCCAGUCUCCUCCACUAAGAAGAAGAACCCAAUCUCAGCUCAACAGAAUACUGACUUACACCCUUUGAAACAUCCGUUUAUGACUCGACCUGAAAACCCAAAAAACGCAUUAAAAUCAAGAACAUGAAAUUGAAAUGAAAGCACGUUUAAAACAUCAGUCAAACAAUUCAAGUUUCAGAACAUAUAAAAUAGCCCACUACUGCAACAAUUUAUUUAUUUUUUCCUUCUUGAUGUAAGAAGUAAGUUGUAAAGGACAAAAAGCAAUGAGGAAAUAGGAAUAUUACAAUUCACAGGUGCAAGUUUGCAAGUUGGCAGCAGAAAAUACUUCUACUAGCAGUCUCUUAACGACCACAGCAAUCGUACGGAUUUGUAGACUGCACAUUAAGUCAAUAAUUUACGACGCCUUUUUCUCUCACAGUUCGUUUUCAUUAGGGAUAAUUUUUUUUUUCCAUUUUCAUAAGUGAUGUUAUAUAAUAUUUUACAAAUUUUUUUACUUUGGUGGCGAAAAUGGAAAACCAUGAAAAGCUUUCUUUUUUAUGUCUAGAACACUUCUUUAUGUGAUAUUAUAUGAUUUCUAAUUUAUCUUUUCGGUAAAUAAUUUAUGUGAAGUUAUAUAUUUUUGAUGAGUACCUCCAUUUUUUUCAAAAAUUCUCAUUAAAAUCGAUAUAAAUCUCUAAAAAAAAGUUAUCACAAGACUUAUUUUUUCCAUAAAUCGCCGCCAAAUUUGUCCUACACGCAUGAUGGAGGAGAGUCCUAUUAGGUCAUUUCCCAUUUUUAAAUUAUCACAGUUCUCUUUUUAUAUGAUAUUAUAUGAUUUUUAAUUUAUUUUUUUUUGGUGGGAAAAAAGAAAAACACGUUAAAAAACUGAACUCACAAGAGGCGUCUGAGUUAAAAAACACGGUGACGGGACAAUUCAGUUGGCCCGGAGUCUGAGGAGACCCCCUGUUAGUCACUUGGUCUAAAAAAUGAUAGUGAAAGCCUCACACCUAUUAGCGCAGACCGGCACGCCUCACGAUCCUUAUGUGAAGCGUUUGAGAAAGAGGAUUGGCUGUAUAGAUCAGCCUCAUUGAAAUCCAGUUCGGAAUGGCAGAUCGACUGUAUGCAUAAUGUCAAAACCAAAAACAAAAAAAAAAAAAAAAAUUAAAAAAAUUAAAGAUAAAAAAUGGGGCCAAAUCUGAUAGUUCUAUUAGAAAAACUGGCUAAUUCCCUUGCAUAUGGUGGGACCGGACCACUCCCAUCAUUCCCGAUUUCGACCAAGAAAUUCUAAUCCAAAUCGACAUUUUUUGAUACACUGGUCGGGAUGAGAGUAUGAUUUGGUGAAUUAUUGUCAUCCAUCUAUGGAUUAGACUAUUGUGAAGUGAUUGUGGAGAUACUGAUGCAUAAAUAACACGUUUAUGGGACUCACUCUUAUGAAUAUUCAACCCACAUUGAUGCCAUAGUGAUACCUUGUGGUCAUCAUGUUACAUGCGAUAAUAUGACAUUAGAAAAUCAAGAAAUUGAUCAUCUGGACUUUGAAAAUUAUAAUUUUGAAAAAAUUAAAUUUCAAGUUCUACAGCAAGUAGAUCUUGUGACACAUUUUUUGAAUGGUUCAUUUCAAGAUCCACAAAAUCUACCUUUUUUAUUUUUUAGAGUGGGUCUCAUGGGGGUCCACUUAAAACUAUCGACAUAACGAGCAGAAUAUUACUGCCAUGUGACUUUGAUCAAACAACUCAAAAUUCUUGUCAUUAGGCCAGUAUUUCCUCUUACAUUGGUCACGUACUUGAUAUCUAAUUUCUUUUACAUGUAAUUAUGACUAAUUAGUGUUUCAAAAAUUCCCAAUCUGGAUUGCAAAUGAGUAGGCCUGACCUAGUUCCUCGUUUCAUAUGAGCUCUCCCAAUUAAGUAAGAGAACUGGCCAAUUCUAUCUAAGAACAAGUCGAUCUUCAGCCGAGUCUAGAUCGCACUAACUUUAAACUUAUAUUUCUCUCAAUUUAUCCAAAUUUAAAAUUAUUAUUUAAAUUAUAUUAUGGACCAAUCACACACUGGAUAAUCAGUCUGAUAGUAAUCCAGAACGGUCCAGCAGUUGACCAAUCCUGCCUCCCAACCUAAGUUUUAAGUCCGGCGAUCAAUCCCACACAAAAUUUUCGCAUUCUAAGUAGAAUAUUUCAACUCACGAAGUUUGGUGCACCACUCACAAGUUUGCUCUUACUUUUCCCAUUUUAAUUGGAAUUUGGACUCCAUAAUCAAGAUUCAUAUAUCUACUGCCCAUAUAUCAAGGUUUGGAUCCUCAAAAAAAAAAUUCUAAUACUGAGAUGACUAGAAGGUACAUUUAGUUGGAAGAUUCAUUUUUUAUUCGAACAAAAAAUAAGGUAAAAAUAAAAAAAGGUGCGAGCCUAGGCUCUAAACAAUCAAAUUAGAGCCUACCUUCAAAUAGUGUCGAGAAAUGUAGUUUCAACACAUGAAAUCAUUGUAAUAGCCUUAAAAUAUAUUUUCAAUUUUAUUUAUAAAGUUUAAGUUUAAAGCUUCAAAAAUAUGGUAAAUCAACCAAUCUAUGAAAACUUGAAUAUCUUGAAAAUUGAUGGUCCAAAAAUAUGUUACAAAAUACAAUAUUUCCAAAAACUUAAUAUCCAUUUUGUUCUCAUGUAUACGUAUCUUGAAGGCGAGAUGAUCAAUUUGAUGAUAUUUGGGCAUCAAAAUAACCUCUUCCACUGAAAAUUUUGAGGAAUAGGUUCGGUCUGGGUUGGCUCGAAACUCCGAUCGAACUUUUUUUUUGGAUAAUUCAGUGGGAAAGACAAACCCCUACGUAGAAAUGGAUACCACAAUAUAAUAACUGGAUGAGGGGAUGCUACCACCACGACCCCAACCCAUUUCCUAACUCCAAUCGAACUUGAUUGGAAUGGACAUACAUGACAAACCAAGUCCGCUUAUCAAGCCUUGACGUGGACCCGGGUUAGGGUAACUAAGGGUUUUUCCACCCUUGGGUGAAGAAUGUUGAAUGAGUCAAAUAAAAGGGGGAUAUUCUCCAACAGGGAGUGUAAUUGUGGGUUUGAUAAUGGAGACGCGAAGUCGAGACUGUUAAAACAGUUGGGGUAAGGAUUGGAGUAAGACUCGAACGAUGAUGAAGGUCAAGACCAUGGUUCCGAAAGCUGGCUAGGCUCAUCCAAACUAGCCUAGUCAGUCAAGCUAGGUCUCAAACCAGGUAAAGUUCAAGGCUUGACAAGUAUUUACUGAUCCGUCGUGUAGAAUAACCCACCCAGUCGAGUCAAUUCGUGUCUUGUUCGACUUAAUCGUGGCUUAUCAAGUCUCAGAAGUCACUUAUUAAAAAUUUGGAAUUGGAUCAAUCAUAAUCAAGCCUUGAAUUCCAUGGGGUCAGAUUCUGAGUCACACAAUCCAACUCGAGCGAUUGUUGAGUUGGAUCGCGCCCUAAUUAAUAAAUAAAAGAAAACAAAGGAAACCUAUAAAUACUGCAGUGACCCAAAUUAUCAGACAAGCCCACCCCCAACACUUUAUAAAUAACUUCACCAACGACAACCCUUAUUUUUGCUUAAAAUAACAACGGUCAGGUAUAUUCUCUGCCGGACCAAUUUAUUAUCCUAUUAAAACUGGUCUAACACCUAUUGUAUAAGAUUCACUUUAUUUUGAACAAUGAAGUAGGUCUAGCAAUGUGCGUCAGACUGGCUACUUGCCCUGUUAAAGCCGAACCAGCACAUAUUAUACCAAUCGGGCUUCAAAAAACAAUGCAGCCGUACCAACACAUAGUGUGCCAUACCAUCUUCAAGUUCCUAAUAAAAACAGUUCAUCACACAUGUGCUACACCGACUUUAUUUUCUUUUUUCGAGAAAGAAAGGCAAAAGAGUAGGUGGAAAAUUGGCAUUUCGAGCCUAAAGAAUUAUUUUUUCACUUCAAGGGUGGUUACAAACACAAAUAAUGUUCAGGCUAACGGUGUGGUAAAAAAAGCAAUGGGAGUGUGCAUGCCUACAAAUUUAGGUGAAUAGGGACUUCCAUUACGAGUUCCUCGUACUUGAAUCGCCAAACCCCUUAGUCCAACGGUGGAGAUCAUGAGUCGGAUCAGGAAUUAUAUAUCACCCUUAAAGAUUAAAAAAACGGGUGCUUUCGAGGUUCGAAAGGGACACUCUCUCCCAUAGGUGAAUCAAACUUGAGAACACUCAAAUGUCUCUUUCACUUGACUAGGUAGGUCUCUGUAUCUCUCUCUUAAGGUGAAUCGAACUUGAAUAAUUGGGAACGGGAUAGGAGUCGUGGAGUUUUUAUUCUUACCCAAACCACCCGAUUAACAUUUUCAAAAAAAAAAAAAUAACUGCUAAAUUAUUUGAAAAAUGGGUAGGAAUAUAUCUUCCUACAUUAUAUUACCCCAAAAAAACCAAAAAUGUCUUUUCACUUGAUUAGGUCCAACAUUGGUAAGUAGUGUGCAUAUAAAAACUAAAUCAGAGUCAUCAUAUUUGGACAACAUUUUUGUUUUCUAAGUAUAGCCAAAAAUAAGACCAUACACAACUCAUCCAUUCUUUCUGUCUUGCUUAAGAGAGCCAUCGCAAUUUUUCGUAGUCUAUAUGGUUGAAGUAAGUUGAAAUACCAGUUUCUGAAAUAGUGUAUUUUGUUAUCUAGACUAUUUAUUUUCAAGAUUUUUAAGGGUUUACAAAUCUACUUGAUUUGAACCAUUUUUGGAUCUUAAGAUUUUAUAAUCAGAGAUGUAAAUUGAUUCUCAAGCCAUCCUAAGAACCUCUGACAUCAAAAUUAUAUUUAUCAUAAAUUUUGGAUGUGCACCUUAAUUUGAAUGUUUAACACCCAAUACUAAAUGAUAACCAACUUUAAACCAAGCGAAACAAAUAUGAUACCAAAUUUCAGUACAUGUGACCAGCAUCAACCAUACAAGAAUACAAUACAUCAAUACAAUUAUGGAAAAAGUUUAUAUAAAGCCGUGCCUCUAAACAAUCACAGUGGAGCCCAGCUCAAAAAUUUCGCUAAAGAGGUUGUUUUGAUGCUUAAAUAUCUUCAAAUUGAUCAUCUCAAUAUCAAAAUGCAUGGACAUAAAAAAAGAAAUAGAACUCAAGUUUUGGAAAUAGUGCAUCUUGUACACAUUUUUGGACCGUCAAAUUUCAAGAUUUUGAAGUCUUCAUAAAUCUUCUUGAACUAAUAUAUUUUUGAAGCUUUAGAUUUUAUAGUUAAAGAUGAAAAUAUAUUUUAAGGCUAUCACACAUAUUUUCAAAAUUGAAACCACAUUUCUCGACACUAAUUGAAAAUGGGCUCCAAUUUAAUUGUUUAGAGUCUCGGUUCUAUACAAACCGCAUCGAUACAUUACUUAGAUACUCUUUUUAUCAAAAAGUUACUGCCAAUUUCAGGGUAAAUUGGAAAACGUGAAUGAAUACGCAUCACAUUGAAGUUAGUUACAAAGAGUGAGGCACCAGAGUUUACUCUAAAAAUUUAAUAACUGCUGCGCAGAGAAUAAUAAAGCGCAUAAACAUCAUUAUAGGUAAAUAAAAAGUUGCCUCAGAAAAGGGCUGGGUUAUGGUGGUUGCAUCCCCGUACCCUAGACACCACAUUGUGCUCCAUUUCCACUGACACCUCCCACUAAUACUUUCAAAUUAACUAAUUCCUAAACUAUUUGAAAAUACUGAGGUGCCAGUAUUUGUUUAUGGGAUAAUUUGCUAUAAAAAUGUUUAAUUUCGGCAUAAAUAGCUUGUGGUCACUCUAGCUAUCAAAACCUUUGGACAGUCAAAGAAAAAAUCUGCUUAACACAAGUUUACAUUCGAUGCAGUUUAACCGUCCCAAAUUAAAUAGUAAAAAGUUUUGACGAUGCAGUUUAUAUAACGAACAUACAAAAAUGAUUAAAACAAUACGCACCUCCAAACCCUCUUGGAAGAUGCAGUUCAGGACCAAAAACCCCUGCAAUGGGUUCAGCCAAAAGACAUUAUACGCUGAAGGACCAAAAACCCGUGCAACGGGUUCAGCCAAAAGAUAUUAUAGGCUCCUCUAAGUGAACCCCAUCUAGAAUUGAAUUUCGUGGGGAUGUAACCUCUUCAACCCAUAGAUUAACCUCAAUAGAAAAGAAUUCCUAAUAGUACCUUCGAUGCACUAGAAAAAAAAAAAACAUUAAUAAUUAAUAUUGACCUAAUAUAAGAAAUCUCAAAUUUCAAAUUAAUAUUUCAAAAUAAUCACCUAAUAAUUCAGUAGUUUCCAAAAACUUAUAUGUAAAAAAAUCUCCUUAAUAUGUCUUUUGACUUAUUUUUAAGCUAUCAAAAGAGCAUAAAAUACUUGCUUAUGGUUUGAAAAUCUAUUUUCACCUCUAAUUUUACGAUAAACAUUUAGCCUAUCUACAAAUAACUAGAAAUCAGGAAAAUAGGCGACCCGCAUGUUAUGCUAUAAGAUGCACAAUAGUUUGAAAAUUCAAAACCCUUUUUUUAUUAUUGAAGCGCACUUUACUUUUGCAAUACAUAAAAUUGGCACCUAUUAUAAUUUUUUACUAAAUUUGAUGGCUACGAAUUCUUUAAACCAAAAAAAGGAAAUUUGAUUUAUACAUCCACUUUGUUUGUUGAAACCACCAUUUUGGUUGAGUCACCCUCUAACAUCUCCAACGAAUGACAAGAAGAUCUCAUGGCGAGGUCUCAAUCAAGAACCGGACAUGGGCCCCAAAGUUGAAAAACACAAGGCCAAAAGGACAUGCCAGCUAUACCCAUUAACGUUUAGGUACAUGUUAUCUGGAACCAUUAUAGGAUCCUCUGUGUACACGACAUGCUUAGUAUGGGGUCCUACAUAUAGGAACGUCAUAUUUGAACAUUAAUAAUACAUGUGAUGCGCAUGAUGAGGUCCCAGAUAAGAGGAAGUGGCGAACAACAGUUCACUAUCGUACACGACUUGUGCACCGCAAUGCCCACAGUAAGUGAAAGUUUUGCCGAGAGCGUGGACAUCGUAGUCCCAUUGGUUUAGUAUUUAAUGAUGUUUUUUACCUUGCUGGACACGGUUUCACGAGUUCAUAUAGAAAUGUGUCGAUCAGACGAAUCGGAACGGUUAAUCACAUAUGGCUCACAAGCGAUUUAAUCAACCUAACCCCUAAAUUAGCUGAUUCAAUCACUCUAAUUGGACAAAUUUCAAACGAUAAAAAAAAAAUUGAAAAUAAUAAAAAAUAUACAAAAACAAUUCUACUAAAAUAUAAAAAACAUACAGAUAAUGUGAUUAAAAAAAAACACACUCAAAUGAAGUUGAAACUUGACGAAAAAAAUGGAUUUUAACGAAACGAAUUGUGUCAAGAGAUAUUUUUAAAAAAAUUUAAAAAAUAUGAGAAAAAUAUAAAAAUGAGUAUCAAUGACCAAAUAAUUUUUUAAUCUUCACCAUAAUAUAAAGAAUAUUAAAAUAAUAUUAAAAAAUUGACUUGACCAAGUCUUUUUUUAAAAGAAAAUGAAAAAAAAAUUAAAUUAUAUAUAAUAUAGAUGCUUUUUUUAUCAACUAAGUAGUAAAUGGUGUACUAAUUAAUGGGUCUGAUAGGCGGCAAGAUUCGAACAAUGAUUCAUAUAAAACUUAAUCAUUAAAGCUAAUCUGGGUGGUCCAAUCAAAUCCAAAAACCAAUGUCCAAUAAAAGAUGGUUCUAAGAACUCAAAAUCUUCUAAAAAACCCCUAAUAGAUUUAUAAAACAUAUAAAAUUAAAUGUAAUAUCAAUGGGUGAUGUUUUGAUCAAUUUUUGUCAACUUUGAAAAAACAAAAAAAAUUCACCUCUGGGGCGGGACGCAAGCCUUGAAUGGCCGGCCUGGGCGUCCGCCUAGGUGGGUUCCGUACCGCCUAGGCAGCCGCCCAAGGACUCCCGUCCAGAUGGGCCGCCUAGGCUUGGGCGAUGCGCAGACCUUCUGGACCGCCUAAGCGCUAGGCCGUCCACUUUUUGAAUCACGGAAUAAACCAUUCUAAUGUAUUUGAUAAAAAUUUAAAGUAGUAUUUUAUUUAAGAUUAAAAAUAUCGGUGGAUCACCAAAACCGGAACCAGCCGAUUUUGCAAACACUAGUGUCGACUCUUAAAUUCUAUUUUUGAGAUGGAUCAUUGGACCCAAUUUUUAAGGACAUCUAAUCCCUAAAAUACGGAUCAUGAAUAUAAAUAAAUAAAUAAAUUUCAAAAAACUAAAACUAGUAAUUUUAUGAAGAAAAUAUUUGCAUUAUUAAUUUCAAUUGUUGACCACCUAUUCGCAUCUCUAACAUAGAUGCUUUAUACAUUGCAAGGUUUAAAAAAAAAGGAUCAACGACCUGGAUGCUGUAUACCGGCUUCAGAUGGGGAUCUUCAAAAAUAUGGGGAUCGUUUCAAAAAAAAAUUGAAAAAAUCAUUAUAAAUCACCUAAAUGUUUGUAUAAUUAUAAUGUAUUACAAUAUUACAUUAAAAUAAUUUUAAAAAAAAUUAAAAACACUAAUGAGAUUAAAAAAAUAAUUUCUCAUUAUAAAAUUAGUAUCACAUAAAAAUAUCAAACAUUCAUUAAUUUACUUUAUUCAUCCAAGUUAACUAACAAUAUACAUUUGAAAUAUAUUUUUUAAAAUAUCAUUUUUAAAUUUCUUCGUUAGGUUCUAGACCCGAACUCAGGUUAAGUCUAGAUUGAGUCAAGGUUCAAAUCAAACCAGACCAAGACCCCGACCCCAUUGCCACCCCUGCAUCUAAUGAGUUUUGAUUAUAGAAUAAUGAUAUGUUCUAAACCUUGUUAUUAUUUACCCUAAUCUAAGAAAAUUGACCCAGAUAUACACAAAGGAGGUCGUGCAUGUCAUUAAGAAAAAUCAUAAUGGGGAUAAUAAAAUUGGCGAUGACGGAAUGAGUUUCUAGUGGUUACUUUUCAUACAUAUCACGCGCAUGUUUUCACCUCAAUGAAAGUUCAAGAGGAGUUAGUCCCACGUUAUAGGUGAAGUGAAAAUGGGUAUAAAAGUUAGUGAAAAUCAUCAAUGCGUUCCCACGCGUAAGCAUCAGACAGCUCCUAAAAGGACUAAUGAUUAUGUACUGCCAAUGUGUAACGUGGUAUUACGGUGGCCAAUAAAUUUUUUUUUUAAAAUAAGCCAUAAGGAGCAUGGCAGUUGAGAGAAAUACGUAAGAUGCACACGGCGAUUGAGAGCCGGAUCUUUCUUUUUAACGCUUCUAUCGAUACUCGAUCGGGGGUCGGAUGAUUUGGAUCUAUUUUUUUAAACUCUAAUAAUGUGAGACAACAUAAUGUAAAAAUACAAUUUACCACGUAUGAAACAAUUUUUUUAUUUUUUUAAAAAAGCAAAUGAGUGUUUAUUUUCUAUACAAAUAGGUCAUAAUCAACAUUGACUAAAUUUAAAACCAGGUAGUUGAUGACCUCUAAUUGUUUAGUCAUAAAGUCCAACAAAAUUUUUCUAAUGUUAUUAACUAUUUUCAUAUAUUGGAUUUCACAUCUAAUAGUUAUAAAUAAUACUGACUUGUGCAAAAAAAUAAACAAUAUCGUAAUUACAAUCACGUAUGUUUUAUUCAAAGACACCAAGAUUACUUUAGAAAAAAAUAUAUCACAAUAUUAAAAAAAAAAUAUUGUUAUCUUGUACCUCAAUAAUGAAGUAUUAUCAACCACCCCAUUUCAAAUCAAACAAUCAAUAAUGAUUAUGAUCUCCAUGACUCAAAAGUGAAAGGCCUCAUUAUAGAUAUUUUUUUAUAUAUUUAACCCAAGAGCCUAUGAAACUUUGGAAUAUAUUUUAUAAUUGUUAAAUAGUAUUAAAUUUGAAUUCGUUAUUUCUAAUUAUUAAAAUCUUUCCAUCUAAAAAGUGGAUUGUCUGUGCUUUAUAUUUCUUUAUAUAUUUAACCCUAGAGCCUAUCUAACGCAUUAUCUUUUCCAAGUGUAUCUAAUGUACCUCUCUAUUUUUAAAUUUACUUAUUUUUAUUAUUUGUUAUUUUAUAUUGAUUAUUUUUUAUUUUAUUUUCAUUUUUGGAGUAGGUUACCAAUAAGGCUUUUCUUUCUUUGUUCUUUUUUGGGUAGCCAAAGGUGUGCAUUCAUGAAUAUUUUGUAAAGGUUGAUUUAAAAAGUACUCUUAACAUAGGAAUUGUCAAUACUAAGUGAAAGCAAUAUGUUACCAAGAGAUCAUUUAAAUCUUUUGAAUUAAGAUCAAUGAAAGGUGUACGAUAAGGGUAUCCAUUUUUUGGUACAAAGAGGUGCCAAUCAUUAUUUUGACUACUAGAUGUAAAAUCAAGCAAAUGGAUGUACAAGCCACAAAGUCUAAAAUAAAAUUUUACAAAUGUCAUGACAUACUUCAAUCAAUAAGAUUUCAAAUUAAACAAAUGAAUGUGAUUCCGACCUCCUUACACAAAAAACAAUAAUAAUCUUAUAAUAUACAGAAAGAAAAUAUAGAAUGCGACCAUUUACCUUUGAUACAAGGUGGUCUCAUUAAUUUUGACUAUUGAAUGUAAAAUUGGGUAUAUACAAUUAUUUCAUUGAUCAAGCUCAACCUCAAAAGAAAAUCUCUCGAACUUUGUGACACAUCCAAACUAUCAAAUUUCAUAUUGAAGUUGUGAGUAAUUGUGACUGCCUUGUAUAAAAAGUAAAUGGUCUCCUUAUAUACAAUCCCAUAUAAACAUCCUUAAAAUCAAAAUAGUGAAUUUUGAUUUACAGUGAAUCAACUUUCUCAUACGUUUAUGCUUGUAAUCCACUAUUACAAAAACCUAACCAUAAAGAAGAAAUACCCAAAAAAGAAAAGCGAGAUUUAGGUACAGACCUAAAGUUCCAACUAAAAUACAAAUGGCUUCGCAAAAACUACAGUCAGCUCGUCUUUUUUAAUUUUUCAAAAUUACCCUUCGAUCAACUUGAAUUUUUAUUUCUUUUUAGCCUUUUGUCAAUGGGGCAAAAAAUAAAAUUAAAGUUAAAAUAUGUGUUGACCAAGGAGUAUUUGUGAAAAAAAUAAAACAAAGAUGGUUGAAAACCUUUUUUCGUAAUUUCCACCUAUAAAUUUAACAAUUCAUAUUGUACCUACAAUUUUAACAUCCGUAUGUAAAUCACUCAAAAGAAAAACUUAAUUGGAAAAGCCAUUCGUGAACUACUGCAGAAUUGAAUCUAGAGUAGCAUCUUAAGAAAGGUUUCUAUACUUCCCCUACAGCACAGAAGGACUAUGCUUCCCCUACCAUCUAACAGUCCAAUUUUGAUCAAGAGAGCCACUCACCUUUUGUUCUUAGAUCCGAGGUUUCAAAGUAUUAUAUUUUUAUUUUUUUAUACAAUUUGUAUGAAUAUGAAAUUUGGUACGUGCCACCUUCUGAUUGUGGUACACAUAAAAAAUAUUAAAAAUAAUUUUUUGAUAAAAAAACUUGUGCGAUUAUUGAGGCAUUAACGUUGAUGAAGGAAAACGUGAAAUAAUUGAGGCACGUGCAGUUGCGUGUGAAACACCCUCUCCACUUCGGCCCCUCUUUAAAAUGUCCUUUUCCACAAUUUGAAUCAAUAGCGGCCGGAAUCUACGUCGUGGUCUCAAGACUUAUAUUUACGUAGGAGCUUGAGAUAUCAAUAUUUUAAAAAAUAUUCGAUCACUUUUAGUUGUCAAAUACAAAAUCCAGUAAUUCCUUAGGAUUUUAAGCCAAAUCACAGGACUCUAAUUUGCAAGUCAAGCUAAUUUCACAUGUGAUAAUUUGGGGGAGAUAGUGACCUUAUUUAUCAAAAGAGUUUUAAACGAUACUCUCCUUUCUUAAAAGGAAAAGUUUAUAUAGAGCCGAGGCUCUAAACAAUCAAAUUCAAACCUAUCUCAAAAAUUUUAUUAGAAGAGGUUGUUUUGAUGCUGAAAUAUCUUCAAAUUGAUCAUCUCAAAAUCAAGAUGCAUGGACAUGAGAAAAAAAAUGAAUCUUCAAGUUUUCGAAAUAGUGUAUUUUGUAAUGAAUUUUUGGACAAUUAAUUUUAAAUAUUUUCAAGUUUUCAUAGAUCUCUCGAUCUACAUUAUUUUUUAAACUUUAAACUUUAUAAAUAAAGAUGAAAAUAAAUUUUAAAGCUAUCAAAAAGAUUUCCAGAAUUGUAACCACAUUUCUUAGACAAUAUUUGAAAGUAGGCUCCAAUUUAAUUGUUUAGAACCUAGGCUCUAUACAAACCGCACCCUUUCUUAAAUCACUUGUGACUCACCGUACGUUCAAUUUUUCAGAACUCUAUAUUUUAAGCAUGAUCAAUUAUUCAGAAUUCUAUAUCUUAAAAAAUAUACUAUCGCCCCUAGCAGUCAAAUACAAGUUCCGGUGAUUAGUGAUGUCAAUAAAAGUUUCCUUAGGACUUUUUAGCCCAACCACAUAACUCUAUUAUGCAACUCAAGCUAAUUUCACCUGUGAUAUUUUGGGUGUGACCGUGACGAUAUUGUAUCAAAAGAUUUUUAAAUGAUAUUCUCUUUUCUUAAAUCAUCUUUGUAUCAAAGGAUCAAUUUUUCAGAAAUCUAUAUUUUAAGCCAAAAACACAAGAAGUAAUAUCUCAAUUAAAUGGACAGCGCAAGGAAAAACCGUUAAGCUUGGAAAGUCAAGGGGGCAAGGUGUUCCUCAAGGUGUCAAAAGCCAGAUCAAUGGGACAGAUAGUUUUAUCUAGAUCCACGUCGAACCGCUAGUUUCAUAGGACUGAUACAAAGAGGGGACCUAAAAAAUUAAAAUAAGUUUAAAAAAGAAGAGAAAAUAUAUGUAGGAGGGGUUUUAAGGAAGCAAUUCGGUCCUAAGCAAUUCCCAUCCGAAUUGACGAUCCGACUUAAAAUCCGCCAGUUUUUUAACAUUGUACUGCUUGUAACAUCAAGAGUUCCAAUUCUACCCAGGCCCAAAAUUUACAAAAAGAAAAAGAAAUUAAUAAAUAGUCAAACUUGAAACUUGAUGAGAUUAGAUUUGAAGCAUGUAUUGAGCUUCAAGUCAAAUGUAUUUGCUUCUUUCUAUUUAACACAGGACAAUCCAAAAUCAUUCGAGGAGUUUGCAGCCCACCACCACCCACUGCUAAGCCUCACAUGCACGUUAUAAUGUACAAUUUGGCCACAUCGGUCAAAAAGUUACCUUCCGUUUUCACAACGCACAUGCUCCAAAACUGAGACAUCAAGUUGCAGAUCUCAUUUAAUAAUCUUUUUUCCCGCAUUGAAUAAUUCACUACCAUUUUGAUGAAAGUAAAGACAUCCAAAUGGCCAUUUUCAAACAAAAAAGAUAGAGGGAAGGGGGUUGCUAUACUUUGGAAGACGAGGAGAGAGAGAGUAAGAGGGGUCAAAUUCCCAGGGUGGCCAACCAGGGUCAAUAUGUAAAAAGUUGAUUAAAGAUGAUAAAAAUAGAUUUACAAUAUAGAAGUAGAAAAUCAAUAAUUUAAGAAUUUGGAUAAGAUGACUGUAUAAUUAUUUAUGGGAUUGUCUACAAAGAGAUCAUUUAGUUUUGAAAUUUUUAUUUCAUGCGGGGACCGCGUUUCUACUUUUGAAGUCCCCAAGGUAUAAAGAAUCCAUUUUUAAAACGUCCAAUCUUAAAGAUGGAUACAAUAGGUAGUCUAUCUAAAACAAUUGAAACUAACUGUCCAAAUGUUUUUUUAAUAGAAUUAUUAUUUUUAAUUUUCAAAUUUUAUUCAUUUUUUCAUAUUCAUGAUCUCUAUAUUAGAUAUUAAAUAUACUUAAAAAUUACGUCCAAAAAUCCAUCUCAGAAAUAGAUUUUUAAACAUGGACUCAUAGAAACCGUGUCUUUUAUCUUUUGUACGUAAACAUCACAAUCAAUCUUGUCCCUUAAAUUUCAAAUGGGUAGUUGUAAAAGUGACAUAGAGUUCCAAAAAAAAAAAAACGAACUUCCAAGCCAUCUAAUUUGACAUCCAAUGAAUGGAAAUAAUUGGGAACUCCACAUACAAAAGAUAAAAAAAAAAGUUUAUAUAAGGUUCCAAUCUUAAAAUGUAGAAUUAUAUCGCACCAUAAAAAGGAAAACUGUUUCAUGCUGGCCGGAUAGUCCAAAAUGUGUAAGUGGUCCACAAAGUUUAAAGCAUUCAUCUGAAAGAUAGAUGCAAGUAGGUGUUCCAUCUAAAAACAAUAGAAGCUAACGGUCCAAAUGUUAACUUACUGGAAUUAUUACUUCUAGAUUUUUAAAAUUUAUUUAUUUUUUCAUAUUCAUGAUCUCCAUGUCAGAGAUUAUAUGUCCUUAAAAAUUAAGUCUUAAAAUCCCUCUUAAAAAUAGAUUUAUUAAGAAACCCGUAUUUCUACAUAUGUGCGGUUAUCCGCAUAGAAACCGUGUCCCCCUAAAAAUCCAUGGUUCUUUUGAUGUUGGAAAACCCUGUAAUUCAUCAUCUUGAUAUCAAAAUGUAUGAAUAUGAAAAGAAAAAUAGAUUUCAAGUCCAAAAAUAAUGUAUCUUGCAACACAUUUUUUGACCAUCUAUUUUCAAGAUUUUCAUGUGUUUAUAGACAUACUUGAUUUGGACCAUAUUUUAAUUUAAAAUUUUAUAAUUAUAGAUGAAAAUAGAUUCUCAAGCUAUCCUAAGAUUUCUUUGACACCAAAAUUACAUUUAUAAUAAAAUUCAUAGGUGCGCCCUAAAUUUAUCGUUUAAGGUUGCAUCAAUCCCAAGUAACUAUGCCUAUUCAGAGCUUUCCACACCCACUGGGUGAAAUUUACGAACAUUUUAAAUAAAAUUUUUUAGAGGUAUGCAAGAGGGGAUAGUGAGAAUGCUGUGCAUGUGGAGAUGACCUAGUUAUUGAUUUUCUUAGAUGAGCUAGUUAAUGAUUUUCUUAGUUGCUUUGACCAUUUCAAUAAUAUUUUUUCUUAAAUAAAAAUAUCAAUACGAACUAGGUAAAACCUCCCCAAAAAUUUUCCUCCAAUUAGAAAUUUUCCUCCUUCGAUUGGGACCACAAAUUAUUGUGUUUUGGUAAUAUUCAGUGUUCGCAAAAUCGAAUCAGAAACUGGACAUUAGCCUGGAAGCAGUUUAACUGGCCGAUUCAACCACUCUAACCAUGCAAGUUCUAGAUGGUCAAAAAAGUGAUGAAAAAUAAAAUAAAAAACAAAAAAAAAACUAUUAAAAUAUGAAAAACAUAUAAAGAAUGAUUAAAACAAAACACAUUCAAAUGAAGCUUAAAAUUAAUGAAAAAAAUGAAUUUUAACCGAUUUUAUAUUUUCCAAGCUAUUUUUAAUUUUUUUUUUUGAAAAAAAUCAGAAAAUAUAAAAGUGAGUAUUAAUGACCAAAAUAAUUUGUAAUCUUUACGAUAAUGUAAAUACCGAUUGAUUACCCUAACCGCCCAAAAUCGAAAACCGGCCGAUGGCCGUUUAUGAUCUAUCCAAAGAUUAGCCGUUAGAUCGAGCGAUUUUGCCAUCAAUAGUAAUAUGUCCCUUUUAAUCUCACAAGUGAAAAAUGUAAGUCAUAAAUACAAAUGCCAAAAAGUUUGGAAGGCGCCCAAACCCAUAAAACACAAACGUACAAAUCAGCGUUUUAAAAAACGCCGAGUCGAACCGGGCUUUGACUCGAAAUUCGCGAAAAGGACCGGAUCGGUUGAAAAAUCGGAAAUCGUCCGGUUCUAGAGAGAACCGGACGAUUCCGCACAGUGACUCGCCGAUUCACUGUACAGAAUCAGCGAGUCCAUACGGGUUUUUUUUUUUUUUUUUUUUUAAAUUAUGAUAGAUUUUUUUGUAAUACUUGAUCGAAUUUUUUGUAAUCCUUGAUCGAAUUGUUUUUGUUUUUUUGUAAUCCAUGAUCGCAUUUUUUGGUUUUUGUAACCCAUAAUAGAAUUUUUUGUAAUCCAUGAUCGAAAAGUUUGUUUUCUUUUCUUGUAAUCCAUGAUCGCUUUUUUUGCUUUUUUUUGUAACCCAUGAUAGAAUUUUUUGUAAUCCAUGAUCGAAUGUUUUGUAAUACAUGAUCGAAAUGUUUGUUUGUUUUUUGUAAUCCAUGAUCGAAAUGUUUGUUUUUUUUUUUGUAAUCAAUGAUUGAAUUUUUUGUUUUUUGCUUUUUUUGUAACCCAUGAUAGAGUUUUUUGUAAUCCAUGAUUGAAUUUUUUAUAAUCCNNNNNNNNNNNNNNNNNNNNNNNNNNNNNNNNNNNNNNNNNNNNNNNNNNNNNNNNNNNNNNNNNNNNNNNNNNNNNNNNNNNNNNNNNNNNNNNNNNNNNNNNNNNNNNNNNNNNNNNNNNNNNNNNNNNNNNNNNNNNNNNNNNNNNNNNNNNNNNNNNNNNNNNNNNNNNNNNNNNNNNNNNNNNNNNNNNNNNNNNNNNNNNNNNNNNNNNNNNNNNNNNNNNNNNNNNNNNNNNNNNNNNNNNNNNNNNNNNNNNNNNNNNNNNNNNNNNNNNNNNNNNNNNNNNNNNNNNNNNNNNNNNNNNNNNNNNNNNNNNNNNNNNNNNNNNNNNNNNNNNNNNNNNNNNNNNNNNNNNNNNNNNNNNNNNNNNNNNNNNNNNNNNNNNNNNNNNNNNNNNNNNNNNNNNNNNNNNNNNNNNNNNNNNNNNNNNNNNNNNNNNNNNNNNNNNNNNNNNNNNNNNNNNNNNNNNNNNNNNNNNNNNNNNNNNNNNNNNNNNNNNNNNNNNNNNNNNNNNNNNNNNNNNNNNNNCAUGUUCCAAAAUUAAAGAAUCCCCCUAAAUGUCUCUCUUUCUCUCACCCUAUCUCUCUCUACCUCUCUCUCCCAUACCGACAGCAAAAUAUUAACAUCGAGAAAAGUUCAUAGGAGUGAAAUCUUACAAUGUAGAAGUGCACCUCAAAAAAUAAGCUCGCUCCGAUGUCAAAAAGUCUUUUAUUUUUUCAUCUCUCUUUAGACGUGUCUUGCAAAGUAUUAUCUAGAUUGGUUUAUUUUUUUUAUUUUUAAGUGUUUAUAGAUCUGCUCGUUCCAAACUAUUCUUCAUUCCAAAUUUCAUAAUUAAAGUUAAAAAUAAAUAUUAAGGCCGUUAUAAGGUUUUUAGCGCCAUCUAUUAGCUAAAUUUAGAGAUACACUUCAAUUUAAUUGUUUAAGGUUGACACCUUAUACAAAAUUAUAAACCACACCCUUUGAAAAUUGACAAACAUUUUUUUGCAAGUAUCCAAGAACUAACAAUCAAAGGUGUUUGUUUAUACAUGGGGCAAUCUCAUGAGAGUUUUAAGUUCAAAGUUUAGAUAGAAUUCGUGUUUAAGAAAAUCGAAUCAAAUUGCUUGGUCUUCCAGGUUACCGGAACCAAUGGGAUGGUCGCAGGAUUAGAACUCGAAUCAAUACUGCUUAAAAUAUUUGUUUCAGUGUUAUACUGAAACAAUUUACCCGGGUUUCAAUUCCUAGCCAUACACACGCAAUGGACCCGAUUAGACUCGGGGGAACCCGACGUUGAGUUCAGAUAUGGGAUUCGAAAUGCAGGUCCAAAUCAGGAACUCGCAUACAAUUCUGGUCCGUGUGUGGGUCCAGCCACUUGAGUACUUAAAGAGCAGUCUAAAUCCUCAUCUCCAAAAUAUCAGCUGCCUUGUCAAAUCGAAGCAAUCCGUACCGUCCAUCCUAGUCGUACGACGCAUGCAGUUGAUAAAUGUUCUAUUGCAAGAACUGACGGUGUAUAGAGCUCCACGAGUAUUGAUAGAACGAUCAGUCCUUGAAAUUUCAAAUUAACCGAUUUGACAGAAUUUUUUAUUGUAAAAACGCAGUUGAAGUUUCUGUAUGUCCUAGGCUCUACGAAAACAAAAUAAAGCUUUACCUCAAAUGUUUGUUGGCUCAGUAACCAAAAUAAAUCGAUUUCCUAACAUCAACAAUAAAAUUUGAAACUUAAAAAAUAGUACAAAUCUUGCACAUCUAUGAACUCUAGGGUGCAAUGGACGACCUAAAUAAUUUAUUCCAAUAUAUAUUAUUUUUAGAGCUUUAAAUCCUAAAAUUUUUCUCAAACAUAAUGUUCAAUCCGGGAGGAUGAUGUAAAGGUUUUUCAAUUGCAGUUUUCAAUGAAUUAUGAGGUGAGGCUUUACCUAUUUUUGAUAAGGUUGCAGCCCCGUAAAACCAUUUUCCUUCUAAUAAUUUAGAGAAAAAAGGUCUAGGAAAAAGGCAUUCCUAGGAGAAAUGCAAUUUCUAGGAGGUAAAUUUAUUUAUUCAUUUGAACUAUUCUGGAAGGUAAAUUUAUUCCAAAAAAAGUAUAAAUAAGCAGAUAAAAUGUAAAUAACACCUUCUUCUAAGAAAACCAUAAAGAAGGAAUAACCAGAUGAAUAAAACUAAUAAAACAUUACUCUGAGAUACAUAAUUUUUUCAUUCUGAUAUUUAAUUCAGUGUUUAAGAACGAAUCUAAUAUGAACUAGUUUAUAAUUCAGAUAAUGAACAAAGAUAAACGAAAUUAUCACGAGAAGUUAGCCUGUUAGUACCAGCAGAAUUCCAUAAAAAUAUAUGAGAAUUGCAGUGCUCAAUUAUUUGUAGUUAUUUUUUGGGUAAUUGCUACCUCCACUCCUCUAAUCAAUAUAUUACCUGAAUUAGUUAAUUUCACGGUUAUUAUGAAAUGUAAAUGGAGUUAUCAAUCUGUAAUGGCAUUUACAGAGAUCUAAGACUAAACAAACUAAAAAGAGAAAUAAACAUAAAAAUAACAUGAAAAAAAGGCAGUAAUUCAAUAUAGACAAAGCUGAAACCGAAACCGAACCCAAACCAUUCAGAAUCACAAAAAACAAGGAAUUAUCAAUUGAUAUAUUCUGAUGAGAACCAGUGACAGGUGCAAAGAGAAUGAAAAACUCCACUCACAUUCACAGUUAAACUGGAAAAAGGAAAACUGCGAAAUAUCAGGAAACAAUCAAAGAUAACUUGUAAUAUUUUUAAGCAAAGAAUUCAUAUGCGUACCUUGGAGUUCUGGUUUUCUCUCGACUUCACUGUCUUUGCUCUAUCAGAAAACCCUAACCCUUGAGCGAUAGAGUGAGAUGAACUCAAAACCCUGCCCAAGACCUUUCGAACGGUUAUCACACAAACCCUCGAAAAAAAGAGAGGGAAAAUGAAAAUGUAACCAAAAAGAACAUAAAAAAAAACGUUCUGUGUUUUGAUUUUCACCUGUUGAUCGACUAUUUAUAGGCAGGUUUUAAGCACAGGAGCCCAGGGUUCGGGAAAUCUGAAUGGUUGAACGGGAAAAUAUGAAAUCCUAUCCGUUCGAUGUAAUCGCCGCACAAUGUUCUGACAAGCAAUUAACACCGUCGUAUCUAUCAGUUUGAUCAUAGAGUGUAUACUUGCUAUUUGCUAUUUUAAGUGUUCAAUUUGGACCCGGUUUCUAUGCUAGACGAUAAAUAUAUUUUUUAGAUAUAGUUUGAUCCUAAUUUUUUGAUAAUAUAUAAUCUUUUUAAGAUGAAAAUCAUGGAUAUGAAAAACAUAAUAAUAAUAAAAACUAGAAAUAAUACUUAUAUUAAAAAAACAUUUGGACUCUUAUUUACGCUUGUUUUUAGAUACAUCCAACUUUAAGAUGGAUUCUUGUUUUUAGAUACACCUUUUAUUUGCAUCCAACUUUAAGAUGGAUUCUUUAUACCUCUGGACUUUAUAGUGUAGAAAUGCAGUUCAACCCGCAUAAAACAAUUUUCCUUUCAAUUUUGCACUCAAGAAGGUAGAGUCACCAUAUGAGCGUAUUUUGAGUUCCUAAAAGCAUUGAUCUUUUAGAUAUGACUGUUCGAAAUUGGAGUCAAUGUAAUGAUUUUUUUUUUUUUAGGUUAGUUGUUAACAUAAGAAGGCUGCAUCCCAAAAUUAGGACUCUAAGAACACCAUGUUUAUCGAGGCCAGACUAACUCUCGAUAAGCAUGGUUAUUUAUAAUCGAGCACCACCUAUGGUUAUUUAUAAAGCCCCACCCAAGUGAUCAACAGAUGCCUUCGUUCUUCUGGUAAGACAAGCCAAAAACAAAUAAGAUGAAGAUUUGCUUGAAAACAUGGUUUUUGAUCUAUUAUGGGCGCUCAAAUUGACUAGUUUUUUACUAGUUAGAUUGGCUGAAAAAAUUUGAGCAAUUAGCUCUAUUUUUUUAAAAAAAAUGAUAAAUAUCCCUAAAUUCAACUUUUAAAAUAUCUUACACCUCAAAACUUUUUGUACCCUUAAACCCCAAUAUUGUUUUUUUUAUAUGGAAAAGUUUAUAUAAAGAUGCUAUCUUACAAUGUAGAACUACGGAUGCCCCUCAAAAAUCUAUCGAAAAAGGUAGUUUUAAUGUUGAAAAAUUCUUUGAUUGAUCAUCUCGACAUUGAGAUGUAUGAUUAUGAAAAAUGAAAAGAUUUUAAGCCUUAGAAAUAGUGCAUUUUACAAUAUAUUAUCUACACGGUCCUCAAGAUUUUCAUAUGUUUAUAAAUCUACUUGAUUUUAACCAUUUUUUAAAUUUAAUAUUUUAUAAUUAAAUAUAAAAAUAGAUUUUGAGAUAAUCCUAAGAACAUUUUACAUCCAAAUUAUAUACCAUGAUAAAUUUUGAAGGUGCACCUUACCUCUACACCUACGGAUGUGUCCGUAUGCAAAUUGCACCCUUCUUAUAUUAACCUGCCGAGUCAAAAAGUCCCUAGAUUUAUAACAAAAAUGCUCUUACUUUCUCUUCCCCUCUAUUUUGGCGUCAUGUGACUCUCUCUCUCUCUCUAUUUGCCAACACUCUCUAGCCCAAAGUAAAAACUCAUUUCUCUCUUUCUAUCUCUCAUUUUUUUUUCUUCUCUCUCUCAUUCUCUCUACCUUUCUCUUUCUUCUCUCUCUCUUCCUCUCCAUCUUUGUCUUUUUCUCUCUAACUAUGGACUAAGAUUUUUGCAAUCCGACACCGGUUAUAAUUUGGGGUAAGGCUGGUAAUGUAGUCCGACAUGCAUUGUGCUGGAUCGAAACUUUUUUGCGGUCCGGCACAAAAAAAUGUGUUGAAGCGCAAAAAAUUUCGGUGUCAAACCGCUUUACAAGCCUAAGAAAAGCUUACUGGAAUUCAAUAUGGUUCGGCACCUUGUGUGUUGUGCCGAACUACAUUACAAGUUACAUUACUGGAACUCAGAGAGAGUAUGAUAGAGAGAAUGAGAGAGAGUAUGAUAGAGAGAAUGAGAGAGAGAGAGAGAGAUUAAGAGAGAGUGAAAUGGAUUUUUACUUUGGCAGGGAGAGAGUGUUGGCAAAGAGUGAGUUAGAGUCAGGUGACCCAAAAAUAGAGAAGAGAGAGAG
rnacentral:lncRNA from 1 species